rnacentral:rRNA from 1 species
AUAAAUCUUUACCCCCCCCCUUUUUUACCAAAUUUUUACUACUUAAACUAUCUAAAUCAAAAAGUACUACAAAGGAAAAGUGAAAUAUAAUAAAAACCUAAAGAAAGAAAAGGAAAAUAAUGUACCUUCAGUAUUAUGGUUUUACAAGAAUAUAUAGAAAAAAACUUUCUUAACCCGAAAUUUGGAGAGCUAACCUUUUUCUCCCUUCUAGAGGGUAUAACUCACUGUUGCAAGAGUGAAGAUAAAAGAAAAGGUUAGAAGUGAAACGCUUAACGAUCCAAAAGAUAGCUGGUUUUCUAAGAAAAGAGUCUUAGCUCUCUUUCCAAAUUAAAACAACCUUAAUUAUCUUUAAGAAAAAACUCCACCAAGGAAAGAAGAGAGAAGAAGACAAGUUCUUCUCUCCAUAGGGAAACAACCCAACAUAAAGGAAAAUUCCUAAAGAGAAAAUUUUUUGUAGGCCUAAAAGCGGCCACCAAAAGAAAGCGUUAAAGCUCAAAUCUUAUUCCCUCUAUAAAUUUAUAAAACAACAUAAUCCUUAUCUCACGAGUAUUAGAAAAAAAUAAUGUAAAAACUAGUAAAACUUUAUUAAUGGAACCCUGAAUAAACAUAUAAUUAACCAAGAAAAAAAAUACCAAGAAAAACAAAAAAGUUCAUUCAACCCAGAAAAUAACUAAACAAUAAAAAAGGAAAGAAGGAACUAGGCAAACUAAGAAGAUGACUGUUUACCAAAAACAUAGCUCCUUGAAUACAUAAGGAGUAAAGCCUGCCCAGUGGAGAUUACUCUCAACGGCCGCGGUAUCUUGACCGUGCAAAGGUAGCAUAAUCAUUUGUCUCUUAAAUAGGGACUAGAAUGAACGGCACCACAUCUCCUACCUGUCUCCUUUCCUUUACUUCUAAACUUCUAUUAACGUGAAGAAGCGUUAAUUUUCAAGAAAGACGAGAAGACCCUGUCGAGCUUCAGCUCUAAAGAAAAAUAUCUCAUCUAAAAGAAAAAAUUCUCUUUCUAAAAAGCUUUGGUUGGGGUAACCAUGGAGAAUAAUUAUCCUCCAGCAUAAACAAAGAUAUAUCAUCACCUAAAAACUUUGAACCAAUACAAUUGAAAAUCAGAAAAAGUUACCGCAGGGAUAACAGCGUUAUCUUCUUUAAGAGCCCUCAUUGACAAGAAGGAUUGCGACCUCGAUGUUGGAUUGGGGUAACCAAAGGGUGCAGCAGCUCUUAUCAGGUUGGACUGUUCGUCCACUAACCCCCCACAUGAUCUGAGUUCAGACCGACGUGAGUCAGGUCAGCUUCUAUCUUCUUUUUACACUCCUUCUUCAGUACGAAAGGACCAAGAAGAAAUUUCUAAUUAAUAUCUUAAAGAAAUAUUCUUACUUCAUUACUUUUACCCUUAAAACAAGGUAU